GAACGUAGGGCGCGAGGCGUUGUCCGGAUUUAUUGGGCGUAAAGAGCUCGUAGGCGGCUUGUCGCGUCGACUGUGAAAUCCCGCGGCUCAACUGCGGGUCUGCAGUCGAUACGGGCAGGCUAGAGUUCGGUAGGGGAGACUGGAAUUCCUGGUGUAGCGGUGAAAUGCGCAGAUAUCAGGAGGAACACCGAUGGCGAAGGCAGGUCUCUGGGCCGAUACUGACGUGAGGAGCGAAAGCGUGGGGAGCGAAACAGG
rnacentral:rRNA from 1 species